rnacentral:sRNA from 1 species
GCACAAUCUUGGCACUGCAACCUCCACCUCCUGGGUUCAAGUAAUUCUCCUGCCUCAGGCUGCUGAGUAGCUGGGAUUACAGGUGGCAGGAGCCCGGGAAGGAGAUUAUAUUGUCUCCAUUCAGCUUGUGGAUUGUAAGUGGCUGACGGUGAGUGAGGUUAUGAAGCUGCUGAAGAGCUUUGGCGAGGACGAGAUCGAGAUGAAAGUCGUGAGCCUCCUGGACUCCACAUCAUCCAUGCAUAAUAAGAGUGCCACAUACUCCGUGGGAAUGCAGAAAACGUACUCCAUGAUCUGCUUAGCCAUUGAUGAUGACGACAAAACUGAUAAAACCAAGAAAAUCUCCAAGAAGCUUUCCUUCCUGAGUUGGGGCACCAACAAGAACAGACAGAAGUCAGCCAGCACCUUGUGCCUCCCAUCGGUCGGGGCUGCACGGCCUCAGGUCAAGAAGAAGCUGCCCUCCCCUUUCAGCCUUCUCAACCCAGACAGUUCUUUGUACUAAUGUGAGGAAACAAACACGUUCAGGCCCCGAACAUUUCCGGUGCUGACUCGGCCUUAAACGUUUGUGCCAUAAUGGAAAAUAUCUAUUCUCAAAUCCUGUUUUUCUCAUAGUGUAAACUCACAUUUGAUGUGUUUUUAUGAAGGAAAGUAACCAAGAAACCUCUAGGAGUUAGUGAAAAAAACCUUUUUUGAGGCGU